rnacentral:misc_RNA from 1 species
UACAGAGGCCUCAAAAGUGGAUAAUCUUCGAGUAGUUCCCUCUCUGUUAGUGUAUCAUGUUCAUUUUGAGGGGUCCACAACACCUCAACUGCAAGUAUUUUGCUGGUGGGAAUGGAACCCAGUUUUUGCAAUGCUUCCUUUAAGUCUCCACUGCCAUUGAUGGUUGGCAGUUUAUGUACUCCUUCAGCAGCCACCAAGAUAGUUAUCACUAUAUAUUCAUUGUUAAAUCCAUUAGCUCUUUGGCUAUUUGUGCUUCGUUUUUUUAUGCUGUUCACAUUAACAAGUGUUUCUUCAUCAAAUUUCCCCCUUUCUUCAAUAGAAAGUUGAUUGAAACGUUUUUCACCAUCCUCGAUGCUUCGCUUCACAUCGGCAUAUGAAUAACCAGAGAUGCAAUAAUCAGGAUGCCGAAGCAAAGCUAGUGAUGCCUCUGUCAAGACAUAGCUCAGACCCUCUGAUGAGGAUGUAUCUGCAAUUUCUGCAAUUCUAUUGAGGUCCCUCUGAAGAGACCUUCCCAUGCNNNNNNNNNNNNAAGCUUAAGAACACUAGUUUUUGCGGUAGCAGUGAGCACCCCACCCUCACUCCUAUCG